UCUAGUUUCCCUCGCUCUUUGUGUUUUGAAAGAUACUGAAGUAGUAUUUUUUUUUUUCCUUCUGUUGCUUAAUUGGCACUUGGACUGGAUGAAUCGGUAACAAAUUUACAAUUUUGUAAAUAUUUUUGCGGUUUUGAAUUUUUUUUGUAUUUCUGUGAAUUUGGGGUUGGUUGAUGAGUUUUUCUAGGUUUUGUUGAAUUCUGUAAUGUUAUAGGGUUAUACUAUAAUGUAGCUGAUUCCUGAAUAAUUACUGAAAAAUCCUGCAAUUGCAAAAGUUAAUGUUGAUUAAAAGGUGAUAUCUUAGUGAUAGAGUGAGAGGAGAAUGGUCAAGAUUGAUUUACAUAUUAUCCUCAUAUUGAUAUCUGACAAAAGUCUACAAAAUCUUGCUUAUCUAUUCCAAAACUGCAAUGAAGUCUUCAUGAGUCGUAGAAAUUGGGGGAGAUAACAAUUGCAAAGACAAAAGUCUCAAACUUGUUAUUGAUCCUGAGUUAAUUAGAUUAUUUUUUCACUCCUCAUGAUGAGGGAGAUGAAGGUAUAUUUCUAAUAUAACUAUUAGGAUUAAAUUAAUUUACAUUUAUAACUUCCUUUUUAAUUCAGUGUCAUUGACUUCAUAUGGAUUAUUUAUUGCUUAGUUUUAUUGUAUAUUGAUUCUAAUGAAAUGCAAUCAGUAGUUUUUGAAGUGAUGCUUUCUAAGCUAUUUUAUGAUAUUUUCUAAAUUCAUUUGAUUAUUGUAAAUAAAUGAAUAUUAAAUUUUAGAAUAAAAAAAUGUAUUAUGAAGGUUGGCUAGUUCAGAUCCUAAAAAUUGUAUAUUGGCACUAACAUUAAAAAUUUGUGCAAUUUGUGUUAUGAAACUAAAAUUAGGGUAUUCUUCUGAAAAUUUGUGCAAUUUGUGUUAACCAGUAUCGGUAUCUGUUGUAGCACAAAAUUGUGUAUCUAUGUAACACAAAUAGAUUAAAUUCUUGUUGCGGAUUUGUAAAACCCUUAAGAAGCUGUUUGGAGAAGUGAAGUGCGAAGAUUUGUGGAUUGCUAUAAGUGCAAAUUGUUCCCAUAAUUUUAUAUUGAUCAAUAAUGAAAAAAUGAAUCAGAAAUCAUCCUUCUUAAUCCCACAUCUGCAGCUGUUCUGAUCAUGCUCCAGAAGAUGUACCUUUGGCCUUAAACAGAACCUUGAGUGAUUUACAGCUUGACUAUGUUAAUCGUUAUCUGGUGGGCUUAGGUUAAUGUUAAUGUUACUUUUAGAAGUGAUUCUGCUAAUUUGUUUGUGGUUGAGUGCAUAUUAACUGAAGAUGCACUGGCCUGUUAGCAUGGAGAAAGGUUCAGUCAGUUUUGUUUGUGAAGUAAUGAUGCUUCAGCAUUCCACAACUCUCUGGAGCAACGGCAAUUCCGCUCUUGUUCCUGCUUUCAUCGCCCUUCCGGAUAUCGUUCGUUCCAGAUCGCCAUCAAGUGAAGGAACGGGUUGUCAGUGGAGAGUUUUCGGCGGGUUAGACGAGAAUUUAGUGAAAGUCGCUAGAUGAGUUUAUCGUGCAGGCAGCUCAAGCUGGUGAGCAGAGUGUGGUGGUUGACGGGUUGAGGGAUUGCCAUGUAGCAAACUAGCAAUGUCUUAUAUGGCUACCGUGUUGGUGGCCCUCAAGAUUGGCGUGAAGGACAUUGCUUUGAUGACAACAAUGUUGUACUCGAUCCAUAUGCAAAAAUUGGUUGAAGGAUGCCGAGUCUUUGCAGAUGUCUAAAUGUUUUGGGACAUAUGGUUUUGGUGGCAUGCCUUUUGACUGGGGAGAGAACUGCGAGCUUCCAAAUAUACAUGAGGUUAGUGAACGAAGUUCACUAAAUGUCUCUUAAGAUACAGAAAGAUCUUGUUUUGUAUGAAAUGAAUGUCGGGGACUUCACAGCUGAUCAGUCCCGUUGAUUGGAACCACACAUACGUGUCAGUUACCUUGGUAUGAUAGAGAAGACAGAGAUGAAACAAUUGGAGUAAAGACUAAAGACAACCACGACUCCAGAUUUAACCCAGACUUGCCAACAGGGAUUUUGAAGAGUAAAGCAGCGUGUGGUAUACCACAUAUUUUGGAGCUUGGUGUCAAUGCAGUUGAGCUGCUCCAUGUGUUUGAGUUUGACGAAAUGGAGCUCUAAAGGCGCCCAAAUGCAAGAGAGUACUUGUAUGCACUAUGCAAGCAAUGGUGGAGGACCAGUUAAUGCUUCCCAAGAAUUCAAACAAAUGGUUAAGGCUUUCCAUGAUGCUGUAAUUGAGGUAUUUUACAUGAUGGACUUCCAACAAAAUGGCCAGUUGUUGAUCUUUCUGGUUAUGGGUAACUGAGUAUCAUGUGGAUGGGUUCUGUUUUGAUCUGGCUAGUGUGCUUUGUUCAGGAACUGAUGGUUCUUCUCUCAGUGCUCCCCCUUUGAUCAGGACAAUAGCCAACGAUAGUAUCCCCUCAAGAUGUAAGAUCAUUGCAGAACCUUGGGAUUGUGGAGGACAAUAUCUUGUUGGAAAUUUUCCAUACUGGGAUAGUAUGAAUCUUUGGCUUGCAGGUGGGCUGAAUGGAAUGGAAUAUACAGUGAUGACAUUACAAAAUUCAUGAAGGUGCUGCAAGUGGAGAAAUUCUCAACUAGAGGAAUAGUUUCCUAUAUUUCAUUAAUUACUAUAUUAAAGUAAUGAAAAAAUAUGUGCAAUGUGUGAACUUUCAAUAUAUUGACUGAGGACAAAUAGUUUCAUAUAUUUCUACUUUACUCA